rnacentral:rRNA from 1 species
GACGAACGCUGGCGGCGUGCUUAACACAUGCAAGUCGAACGGAAAGGCCCUGCUUUUGUUGGGUGCUCGAGUGGCGAACGGGUGAGUAACACGUGAGUAACCUGCCCUUGACUUUGGGAUAACUUCAGGAAACUGGGGCUAAUAUCGGAUAGGAUCUCCUGCUCCACGGUGUGGGUUGGAAAGUUUCGGCGGUUGUGGCUAGACUCGCGGCUUAUCAGCUUGUUGGUGAGGUAGUGGAUUACCAGGCCUUUGACGGGUAGCCUGCCUGAGAGGGGUACCGGCGACCUGGGGCCUGCGAGACGGAGCAGACGGCUACGGGCGGCAACAGUGGGAAGUAUGGCGCAGUGGGGGGGAGUCAGUGGUGACAGUGCCGCGUGCGGGAAACCGGCCUUCGGGUGAUAAACCGAUGUCGACUGUAACGAAGCGAGAGUGACGGUACUGGGUAAAAAAGCACCGGCUAACUACGUG